UCAAUCCCUUGAAAAGUUGGGCAACCCCCAGCUUGGAUAGGUUUGACAUUGCCCCUGUUUUUUGCGCACUUAUGUUUCCUCGGUGGGCUUGCCCACCGAUAGGACCAAUUUAUAACCUUUUUUAAUUUUCAAUCAGCGUCUGAAUAAACUAAAUAAUUA
rnacentral:misc_RNA from 1 species